GGCGGCAGGCCUAACACAUGCAAGUCGAGCGCCCGUAGCAAUACGGGAGCGGNAGACGGGAGAGUAACACGUGGGAACGUACCCUUCAGUUCGGAACAACCCAGGGAAACUUGGGCUAAUACCGAAUACGUCCGUAAGGAGAAAGAUUUAUCGCUGAAGGAUCGGCCCGCGUCUGAUUAGCUAGUUGGUGAGGUAACGGCUCACCAAGGCGACGAUCAGUAGCUGGUCUGAGAGGAUGAUCAGCCUCAUUGGGACUGAGACACGGCCCAAACUCCUACGGGAGGCAGCAGUGGGGAAUAUUGGACAAUGGGCGCAAGCCUGAUCCAGCCAUGCCGCGUGGAUGAUGAAGGCCCUAGGGUUGUNAAGUCCUUUCGGCGGGGAAGAUAAUGACGGUACCCGCAGAAGAAGCCCCGGCUAACUUCGUGCCAG
rnacentral:rRNA from 1 species